GCACCACGCGCACUGAGAGAGCACCACUACUGUUCCCGUGCUCUCGCCAAAACCGGCUUUAUAAUGACACUUCUAGUGGCGCGAUUAUUAAUACGAUGACUGACAAUAAUGGGAGGGGUCUGACACAUAAAAUGUACCCCUUGAGUGGACGAUUAAACACUUUCCAUUAUUUCAACAGAAUUCAUUGAGACUGUGUGGUCAGUCUAAUUUCAGAAUGUGCGUAGAUUGAUGUUUAGUAAUUUAAACAUAAAAACAAGGCUAAUCUACAAUUACUAGAAGUUCAACACGAAAAUAAUCAGUCUACUUGUGCCUGAAUUUUGUUACAUCCAAAUGAGACAAUAACUACAUUAACAAGGCACAUUUUUGCUUGCGUCUUUGUCUCUUAUACGCAUUCAAUUUAUUUAUAGGCGAAUAAUCAAAGAAAGCAGAACCUAUAGGGUUAAUGGGAUGGGGUGAACUACUGCUGCCAGCCCAGGCUACUCUGCGGUGCGUUGACCGUAAAUUACCUUCCCGUCCCCCUUUUCAUUAAAAAAAUAAUCGGGAUUUAACUUUGGUGACGCUGCAAGCAAGGAUGAGGUUAUUCUCGCGCUUUCCAUGGUAAAAGGGAUGGCGUGAUUCUUGCAACCCAAGAGAUUUGACAUCUUUUAGAUUCCACAAAAGGCAUUGGUGGUGACCUAAAUUAGAAUGUCGAAACAAACGUCUUUCUUUUUCUAGAAUGGAAAGGUUUGCAAAUCGUGCACGCAAUCCGCGCUCUCUCAGCAGCAUGUAUGAGCAAGCUGGGUUUAAUUAAUGUUCUUUCGGGGGUUGAAACCUACUAACGAUGGAGGAUGGAGAGCUGAGGUUGAGGUCAUGUCAGAGGGUGCACUACUGUAUCCGGGCCAAGCGUAAAUGUUGCCCUAGUGUCGAAUGGGGUAAUAUACUUGGACUGGCACUGCAUGGUGGUACGGGCAGUCUACUGGGAUGUGUACCUUCAGGACACUCUUUGGCUGUGAGCAGAGAGGAGGAGUUGAGAUUGAUAAGGGACUGUCCAUGGAGAUGCAAAAGGAUAUUUUCUCAGGUACCAAAAGUCCAGACUAUUCCUGAGCAUCCAGAUGAAGACAUGAUGUGUCAAGGAGGAGUCAGAUGCGCCUCCUCAUCAAAGCUCAGAGACAUCACUAAUGCAACCCUGCUUGACACAACGGAGAGAAGAUGAGUGUUGCUUGACAGUUAAUGCAUUUUUUUUUAUACAUUUCUUUGAAAUGUUACUUCUGUCAGUAUAUGUUUGACCUUAUUGCCCCACAGUUUAUAUGAUUGCUCUUUCCCCCAUCCAUAAUCAAUUUAUGAUGUGUGUGAUAAAGUUAAAGGGGUUGCUGUUAUAUAAAAAAAUGCAAAAGAGGGUUGGUUCACUCACCAAAAGUGGUUUUGCAGUCUUAAUAACUUUCGAGUUAAUGAAAAUGAAACAUUCUUAAACCAAAGUAUAAGUAAGAGAAUUUAGGCUGAGACCCAAAUUACCCCAUUCUCCUUCCUCAGGCACUUCGGGUCUCCAUUUGCUUGUUCACAUGCCCCCACCAUUUGCACAAAUGUCCCAAAGCUGAGGGAGUGAAAAUUAUUGCAUGUGUAUGGGCUAAUUAGGCCCUUCGAUAGCCUCUGACCAAGCUAGCAAGGCUGCAGGCUCCAAAGCAAAAUGCUAUCCCAACGGCAGGGAUAGUGGUUAGUGGUUAGUAGUGGUUAGAGUGUUGGACUUAUAACUGAAAGGUUGCAAGAUCGAAUCUCCGAGUUGACAAGAUACAAAUCUGUUGUUCUGCCCCUGAACAAGGCAGUUAACCCACUGGUCCUAGGCUGUCAUUGAAAAUCAGAAUUUGUUCUUAACUGACUUGCCUAGCUAAAUAAAAAACACAGAAAUACACCCCUUCAAUUUGGUGGAUUUGGCUAUUUCAGCCACAUCUGUUGCUGACAGGUGUAUAAAAUCCAGCACACCGCCAUGCAAUCUCCAUAGACAAACACUGGAAUUAGAAUGGCCUUACUGAAGAGCUCAGUGACUUUUAAUGUGGCACCGUCAUAGGAUGCCAACUUUCCAACAAGUCAGUUUGUCACAUUUCUGCCCUGCUAGAGCUGCCCUAGUCAAUUGUAAGUGCUGUUAUUGUGAAGUGGAAACAUCUAGGAGCAACAACGACUCAGCCGCAAAGUGGUAGGCCACACAAGCUCACAGAACUGGACCACCCGAGUGCUGAAGCGCGUAGUGCGUAAAAAUCAUCUGUCCUCGGUUGCAACACUCACUACAGAGUUCCUAGCUGCCUCUUGAAGCAAGGUCAGCACAGUAACUGUUGGUCAGGAGCUUCAUUAAAUGGAUUUCUAUGGCCGAGCAGCCACACACAAGCCUAAGAUGUUUAACUGUUACUGAGAUGUAUAUCUUGUAAGGUUCCCCUCCAAAGACAUUGGAACUUUGGGAAAAUCGAAAAAAAAAUCUCACUCUAGUGUAGUAUAACUGUUUUAUACAGCAUUGCAACCAAUCAUUUAUACCAGCAUUUCUUUGGAAAGUUUACACCAAUACUGGUAUGUUCAAAGCUAUUGUGUAGAGUACAGGCCUUAUUAACUAUAUUUCAAAAACAAUAACAAAGACAAUAUUAUUUUCAUGUUAUAUUGUGAUGAUUAUCUAUCAAGGUCAGCAAAGGUAUUUUAUGUACAGUUUAAAAUGCAUUACAUGAGUCUGUUAUAUUCUUAAAGCUUAAAACCUUAACUUCUAUGAAUAAAGACAUUUCCCGUCUGAUAACUAAUGUAAAACAUAGUCUUGUAUGCCAUUGUGACAAAGCGUAUUCACAUUGACUGCUUUAGAAAACAAGCACACAUAAACACCACAAUUACUACCAUCUGACUGUUUCCUAAAAUGGGGGCAUUGAUGAGAAAAUUCAUAGUAUAGUGUCACAUCCACCACAACAACCCCCAUGCAUUGCCAGAUACUGUAAUGACAGGUAUUUCUGAAUUGGAAGUUAUUUAUUCUCAAAUUCUCUUUCGUACUGGCUUAUUAUUCAGUGCCCCAUGAAAUAACACCAUAUAUAGAUUAUACAGACCCUACUGAGUACAUCCAAUCCCACUUUUACAUGGGCACAAAUCAUGUUUUUUUCACUAUAAGCCAAAAUAUAUUUUAUAUGCAGUGAUUUGCGUUGUGUCCUAUGGAAUGGGUCUAGUAAAUUAUGAUCUUCUUGGCAUUCCUUUGACACCGGGUGCUGUAGAUGUCCUGGAGGGGAGGCAGUGUGCCCCCGGUGAUUCGUUAGGCUGACCGCAUCACCCUCUGGAGAGCCCUGCGAUUGCGGACGGUGCAAUUGCACAAAGUCAUCAUAAGUAUCUGGGGAUUCAAUGUUGCUUUCCUUGUUGGUCAACGAGAAUGUUGAAUUUGGUUAAUAAACAUGUAAUGGUUUAUUUGCU
rnacentral:lncRNA from 13 species